GAAGUAACUAGGCAGACGUUGUAUUAAAAUGAGGCAAAAAUAAACAGUUUAACAAUAAACAUAACAUGCUAUUUACCCAGCAUUGCUUGCCAAUGGAAGCAUGUCACCUAUUUCACUCAUCUCGGGUAAGUGUAAGCCUGAUGUCAUGUCCCUUGGAGGAGAUAAAUCCAGUGACAGAUAACUGGCAUCAAAAGAUGACAAUAAAGCUGAAAGGCUAGGGUCCAUAAGAUCAGGACUGCUGGAUUCUGGCAUCAUAGCAGAUAUGUUUGCACCUGUAAGAUCAGAAGCAUAUGAUUGAUUUGAA
rnacentral:misc_RNA from 1 species